UUCGCCCUACGGGGCGCAGCAGUGGGGAAUAUUGCACAAUGGGGGGAACCCUGAUGCAGCGACGCCGCGUGAAGGAAGAAGUAUUUCGGUAUGUAAACUUCUAUCAGCAGGGAAGAAAAAGGACGGUACCUGACUAAGAAGCCCCGGCUAACUACGUGCCAGCAGCCGCGGUAAUACGUAGGGGGCGAGCGUUAUCCGGAUUUAUUGGGUGUAAAGGGAGCGUAGACGGCAGCGCAAGUCUGGAGUGAAAUCCCAUGGCUUAACCAUGGAACUGCUUUGGAAACUGUGCAGCUAGAGUGCAGGAG
rnacentral:rRNA from 1 species